rnacentral:miRNA from 15 species
AGGAAGCUUUUCCUUUGAGGGGAAUGUUGUCUGGUUCGGGACAACUGUGGAAGAGACCUCGGACCAGGCUUCAUUCCCCCCAAUCGCAGCUUCCA